rnacentral:rRNA from 1 species
GACGAGCCACACAAACGUUAUUCGGAAUUACUGGGCUUAAAGGGUGCGUAGGCGGCGCGGAAAGUUGGGUGUGAAAGCCCUCGGCUCAACCGAGGAAUUGCGCCCAAAACUUCCGUGCUUGAGGAAGAUAGAGGUGAGCGGAACUCAGGGUGGAGCGGUGAAAUGCGUUGAUAUCCUGAGGAACACCGGUGGCGAAAGCAGCCUCCUGGGCCAGCACUGAUGCUCAUGCACGAAAGCGUGGGGAGCAAACAGG